rnacentral:rRNA from 1 species
GAUGAACGCUGGCGGCGUGCCUAAUACAUGCAAGUCGAGCGAACAGAUGAGGAGCUUGCUCCUCUGACGUUAGCGGCGGACGGGUGAGUAACACGUGGAUAACCUACCUAUAAGACUGGGAUAACUUCGGGAAACCGGAGCUAAUACCGGAUAAUAUAUUGAACCGCAUGGUUCAGUAGUGAAAGACGGUUUUGCUGUCACUUAUAGAUGGAUCCGCGCCGCAUUAGCUAGUUGGUAAGGUAACGGCUUACCAAGGCAACGAUGCGUAGCCGACCUGAGAGGGUGGUCGGCCACACUGGAACUGAGACACGGUCCAGACUCCUACGGGAGGCAGCAGUAGGGAAUCUUCCGCAAUGGGCGAAAGCCUGACGGAGCAACGCCGCGUGAGUGAUGAAGGUCUUCGGAUCGUAAAACUCUGUUAUUAGGGAAGAGCAAAUGUGUAAGUAACUAUGCACGUCUUGACGGUACCUAAUCAGAAAGCCACGGCUAACUACGUG